rnacentral:lncRNA from 1 species
CUGAGCCGCUCGAUAAAUCCCUGUCACUGUGAUUGCUGAUGGCUUGUUUUCUUUCCUUUUGCUGGAGUAUUUAUAGAAGAACUUAGCAAGCUCCAAAAUGUAAAACUCUCUGGAGAUACUCUUUGGACCUUGAAACUAUGUCCUGCAAGGGGAAAAAAAUCACUAGGAUUUCGGUGAGGGCUCACAUACUGACGUGAUCUCAGAGGUCGUACUACUCCUGAUACGUCACUCGUCUCCAGGGAACAAAACAAAAAGAAGAACAAAGAACGAAGCUUACAGGCACACGCGAUUGCUAGGGGAAGCUGUGCAGCUGCCAAGGAGUGGAGAAGGCGAGCAGAUUGGACCCCAUGCCUGGGCCUGCCCUCUUUCCACGACAGAGGUGAGGGAGGAGUGUUCAUCAGUUGUGUCUGUAGUUGAAAAUGAAAUAAAGAAAGUUUCACAACACAACAUGCA